UCUACAGUUGCAAAUGAUGGAUAAAACUUGUUUUAACUGACAAAUUGUGAUGUCAUAUUAAAUUUCGUCACUACCACUGAUACAACGUUGA